UACAGAGGGUGCAAGCGUUGCUCGGAAUCAUUGGGCGUAAAGGGCAAGUAGGUGGUCUCGUUUGUCUGGGGUGAAAGCCUUGAGCUUAACUCAAGAAGUGCCUCAGAAACGGCGAGACUAGAGUACUGGAGAGGGUCGUGGAAUACCCGGUGUAGCGGUGAAAUGCGUAGAGAUCGGGUGGAACACCAGAGGCGAAGGCGGCGACCUGGACAGUUACUGACACUCAACUGCGAAAGCGUGGGGAGCAAACAGG
rnacentral:rRNA from 1 species